AACGCAUAUUGCGCCCUCCUGGCAAAGGAGGGUAUGCCUGUUUGAGUGUCAUUUUUUAACUCAACUCAGCUUGGCUUGUGGUAGCAUCCUUCUUGCCUUGCUGUUAGUUGGAUUUUGAAGGUGUGCUGGCAGCGUGUCAGCUCCUUUUAAAUAAAUGAGCAGGAGAAUUAUGACGACCCAGCUCCAAUGUGAUAAACUGCUCUGCUUGUUGUCUUUGUUGCUGGAAAGAAAUAUAUUGUACCUGCUGCUAAUUGUCCCAGUGGGACUGCCUGCCAUUUGGCGGCAUACACCUCUCUCUUGACCUCAAAUCAGGUAGGAGUACCCGCUGAACUUAA
rnacentral:misc_RNA from 1 species